rnacentral:rRNA from 1 species
AUUGAACGCUGGCGGCAGGCUUAACACAUGCAAGUCGAGCGAGCGGCGGACGGGUGAGUAAUGUCUGGGAAACUGCCUGAUGGAGGGGGAUAACUACCGGAAACGGUAGCUAAUACCGCAUACCAUCAGAUGUGCCCAGAUGGGAUUAGCUAGUAGGUGGGGUAAUGGCUCACCUAGGCGACGAUCCCUAGCUGGUCUGAGAGGAUGACCGGCCACACGGGAAUUGAGGCACGGUCCAGACUCCUACGGGAGGCAGCAGUGGGGAAUAUUGCACAGUGGGCGCAAUCCUGAUACAGCCAUGCCGCGUGUGUGAAGAAGGCCUUCGGGUUGUAAAGCACUUUCAGCGAGGAGGCGUUACUCGCAGAGGAAGCACCGGCUAACUCCGUGCCAGCAGCCGCGGUAAUAC